rnacentral:rRNA from 1 species
UACGGGGGGGGUAAGCGUUGUUCGGAAUUACUGGGCGUAAAGGGCUCGUAGGCGGCCAACUAAGUCGGACGUGAAAUCCCUCAGCUUAACUGGGGAACUGCGUCCGAUACUGGAUGGCUUGGAUUUGGGAGAGGGAUGCGGAAUUCCAGGUGUAGCGGUGAAAUGCGUAGAUAUCUGGAGGAACACCGGUGGCGAAGGCGGCAUCCUGGACCAAUAUUGACGCUGAGGAGCGAAAGCCAGGGGAGCAAAACAGGG